CCCCGCCCCGCCCCCCCGCAGAGAUUUAACGUAAACUGAAAAGGGAACCGCUGAAAAGUCCCCGCCGACUCUUCCCGGGUCGGGGUUCGGGGGGUCCCGCAGCCUCGGGGUGAAUCUCGGACCCGGAGACUCGGGGAGACCCCGGCCCGUCCGUGGGGAUUGGGGGUCGGGACCUGGACCCGGGCCCGCGGCGCUCACCGGCCUCGCUCUGGUUGUAGUAGCCGCGCAGGGUGUUCAGUCUCACUCGCUGUAGGCCUGAGGACCCUCUUUCCUUGACAACUGUCAGCGAGGAGCCAGAGCAGGACUGCUCCCAACACCUACUGGUCACCAGCAUUCUUCGCCAUGCGGCCUCCAUUUUCAAAGCCCACAAUUGAGAAAAACCCUCACGUUGAAUCUCUCUCACCUUUGAAUCUGUUUGCUCAGGAAGAACCCAGUGCUUUUACGGGCUCACCUGAUUAGGACACUCCCACCCAGGACAAUCCCCUUGUCUUCAGAUCAACUGAUUUGAGAUCUUAGUUACAUCGGCAAAAUCCCUUCUCAGCAGCAUCUAUGUUAGUGUUUGGUUGAAUAACUGGGGGGAAAGAGAGUAACCAGAAGGUAGUUGUUGUGGACCAUCAUGGAAUCAGCCUAGCGCAGCCUGGUUCUUCCUUUGUGUUUAAUUGGGUCAUGGUUAGAAAUUUAAGUUCAAAUAAACAGAUUGUUGUGAAUGGUAAUAAAAUGCAUCCUGUUUAUUA